rnacentral:rRNA from 1 species
ACGAACGCUGGCGGCGUGCCUAAUACAUGCAAGUCGAGCGGAAUGAUGAAGAAGCUUGCUUCUUCUGAUUUUAGCGGCGGACGGGUGAGUAACACGUGGGCAACCUACCUUGUAGAUUGGGAUAACUCCGGGAAACCGGGGCUAAUACCGAAUAAUCCAUUUUGCUUCAUGGCGAGAUGUUGAAAGACGGUUUCGGCUGUCACUACAAGAUGGGCCCGCGGCGCAUUAGCUAGUUGGUAGGGUAAUGGCCUACCAAGGCGACGAUGCGUAGCCGACCUGAGAGGGUGAUCGGCCACACUGGGACUGAGACACGGCCCAGACUCCUACGGGAGGCAGCAGUAGGGAAUCUUCCACAAUGGACGAAAGUCUGAUGGAGCAACGCCGCGUGAGUGAAGAAGGUUUUCGGAUCGUAAAACUCUGUUGUAAGGGAAGAACACGUACGAGAGUAACUGCUCGUACCUUGACGGUACCUAACCAGAAAGCCACGGCUAACUACGUG